GACGAACGCCGGCGGCGUGCUUAACACAUGCAAGUCGAACGCUGAAGCUCAGCUUUUGUUGGGUGGAUGAGUGGCGAACGGGUGAGUAACACGUGAGUAACCUGCCUCCUUCUUUGGGAUAACGCCCGGAAACGGGUGCUAAUACUGGAUAUUCACUGGUCUUCGCAUGGGGGUUGGUGGAAAGGGUUUUUCUGGUGGGGGAUGGGCUCGCGGCCUAUCAGCUUGUUGGUGGGGUGAUGGCCUACCAAGGCUUUGACGGGUAGCCGGCCUGAGAGGGUGACCGGUCACAUUGGGACUGAGAUACGGCCCAGACUCCUACGGGAGGCAGCAGUGGGGAAUAUUGCACAAUGGGCGCAAGCCUGAUGCAGCGACGCCGCGUGAGGGAUGGAGGCCUUCGGGUUGUGAACCUCUUUCGCUCAUGGUCAAGCCGCAACAAUGGUUGUGGUGAGGGUAGUGGGUAAAGAAGCGCCGGCUAACUACGUG
rnacentral:rRNA from 1 species